rnacentral:misc_RNA from 1 species
CCGGUCCGCGCGUCAACCGUUGUUUAUCGCAGAAUAUACAGAGCUUGAUUUUCUUCUUUGUUUAACUGGAAAUCAAAUCGAGCCAUGUUAGAAUAAUAAUUUAAGCAUAACGUUGCAAAAUACUAUUUAAGCAAAGAUUUUUAUUCCGUGCAGAAGAAAAAAAGUAAGGAGCUAUAUUACAAAACGGAGAUGUUGUUAACGCUUAUCUUAACAAGUAAAAGCGUAUAGUGUAUUUCUAUGUAGUUUAUUUCUGGUUUGUUAAGAAAUUUAAAACAUGAUAAGGAGUUUUACAUUUGUCGCCGGGAGGAAAGGUGGCACCAAACGACUGUUGGCUGUUAAAUAACUUAAAGGACAUCUGACAGUUUCCUAUAUGUAUAUAGGCAAACAUUUUCCUACGGACGGAAUUUAUUUAAACUUUUGGCUGACUGAGAAUCGAGUUUAAAACGGAAAUAAGUAUUAAAAAUCUUAGGUACCGGUGCUUGAUCUUGAAUUAUUAUUAAUUUACGGACAUUCAAACCGCCACUAAUUUUUGGACUGCAUAUGCGGACAGUAGGUUUAACUUAGCUGUUAUAAAAAGUGAAAACCAUUUCUGAGUCUGGGUUGGUAUGUUAAAAUGAACCUUGGCCUAAAGAUACAAUGUUUUGAUUGCAUAUAUAUGGCAAAAGGCGCCAAGGGCAACCUUAAUAUGGUAAACAAAACAAAACCAACAGGAGACAGUCCAUUUAAUAACUUAAGACAAAAUACAGUAAAGCAAAUGAAACUUAUGGCUUUAAUAUACCAAAGUUGGGAGCGCAAAUGUCAUUUUGGUCAAGAUCAUUAUUACUAAAAUAGAAUAAAAAGGACCUCUAGUAAAUACGGCAGACAUAAAUUUAACACAGUUUUGACGAUUUGAGACUACGCAUUGAUGCUAAGCGUCCGUGGUGUUGACGAAUGUGGAGACCGAUGUACAUCUACGCAAGUAUGUGCAAACAAUGGAACAUGUAUCAAUAAAUCGGACUUAGUAAACUGGACAAGAGUGCUGCGGCUUUCAGCGUUGUAUACCAGCUGGAGCUGUAUGCUGUGGCACCCUCUUCUAUUGUCUGAGUGGCGAAACUUGCUGCGGGAUAAUGUUUUGUAGAGCAGCGGGAAGUUUCUGUGAUGGUAAAGGGAAUUACGUUUAUGAUGAGUACCCAAAUAAUUCAAAAACAGAUGAUGCUCACAUUCAUACCGGUUUAGUAACCUUGGUGUCGCUAAAUGAUUUACUUCCAAACAGUUCAACCCGGAAGCCGUCGACCACAGCAAGAACACCAUCAAGAACGAGAUAUCCAACAUUUAAGACGACGAGAAGGUUCAAUGAUUAUACAACCAAGAGUUCAUUCCGACGAACAUCAUCUACCAGUACGUUCAAAUGGUGGUAUGGUGUCGUAGCGAGCGCUGCUCUAAUAACUUUUGCAAUCGUCUUCGCUGCUGUCAUAUGGAAUCGCAGACACUGUGUAUCAAAUGUGCCAGGUCAGUCCGGUAGAGGUGCAAUGGUUCUAAGCGCUCCAGUGCAGGUCUAUGGAUAUCCACCUGUAAAAACAUGCAUAAAAUGACACCAAAUACAGGUGUAACGAUACAUACAAAUAGACAACCACCAAAGCCAAACGCGGCAUUCGUGGUAACAAAGAAACGCAUUCCGGCACAGACAAAUAGAAAACCGCCAAAUCAAGGCACGGGUUUUGUGAUUACAUGAUCAUCUGAAGUCAUGACUGUAAUUGAAACGAAUCUCCAGUGCAUGUUGUGCCAAUACUUUUAUCAUGCGCCUCCUUUGGGCGACAUAUAUGAAUUGCAGCUUGUAUGUGUGACAUAUAUCAUGUACAAGGUAAUUAUCCCAGACAAUUACUGUUAAAGUAGUAGAAAAUUUUACGGCAUUAGAUACAGACAAAUAUAACAAGACAUAGGACACUUGGUGUCAUACCACACGUUUUUGGGACGUGCCUGUUCCUUGAAUUUUGUCCUUGUUUUAAAGCAGUUCUAGCAAAUGUUGUUACACCUCCAUUAUAAUCUAGUUUUGGCCAUCACAUCUUAAGUGAGAAGAUUUUUACUUUCUGAUAGUCGUCUCUAUCAAGUUUUGGCAUGAUCCCUUGCGUUUUCCUAACCAGCGGUCAUUUUCCGCCGCAUUAGUAAAUUUCACAGAAUCAUGAACCGUGUUGCCAACAAAUAUUUUAGCUAUUAGUUUCAUUUACAUGCUAUUGCAUUCAUAAACUAACGGUAAAUUACCUUCUGUUAUACUUAUUAAAAUAAAAUAUAUAGAAAAUAAUAUAAACAUUUAAAAAAAAAAAACGGUUUCCUUUUCCUCGGUAGCGGACAGAGUAACAUAUUGAAAUUGUUGUAUUACUUGCAUUGCAACUUUAAUAAUAAUUAAAAGAUAAUCAGUUAAGUUAAAGAUUGUCUGUAGUAUAAAUAUUACGAAGUUAUCGUAUAUCAUAUAUUUGGCUAGCUUUUUAAUCUGAUGAAUUUCAGCUCAAAAAUCCAAUCCAAGCAAUGUACAAAAAUCAUAGAUCUAUUUUUAACUAGUCGGGGGCUUUCCUAUAUAAAAUAGAUCUAUUUCGAAACGCUGUUUUUAGUAUGCUAGACAGAAGGGGGAAACAAAUCAACAAGUUCCUGGCUUACUCGCCUUUUACUGAUGUUUAAUUAAUUGACCAGUACUACAUUUUUUGUGUGUGAUAAAUUGUCCCGUUCACAAAUGUUAAGGUUUACUCAUCAAAUAAGGUCAUGUUUUCUUUAAUAUUUAUAACAUACUUUGUGUAAGCAGGUCAAAUGAACAACCGCACUGUUCAACUAACGCUGCUGACCUUCGACCAGCUGCAACUGAUUAAGUGGGGCAUACAUUUUUAACUAUGACAGUUUAUCGAUCUAUUGUGACGUAUGAAUGUAUUAGAGUAACAAACUUUACUAUUCAUUUUUAUAUGUUUUACGUUUCAUGAUAUGAGUAUAUUUUUGAUAUUUUCUACAGUGUUGCUAACUAUACUUUUACAUAAAUCAAUCAUGUUGUUAUCAUUGCAAAAAGUGUCAAUGGGAAUAUUACAAUUGCCGUAUCAUGAAUUAUUUUGAAUUUUAAAGUUAUAAAGAAUAAAAUGUAAAUAUAGCAAAUGUGCUGUGAUGGUGUGAAGCAUACGUAGUUUUAAGGACAUGAUUCAAUGAUCUUCAACUAUACUUUUUAUCAAGUUUCUGUGUUAAGAUAUGGGAUCUACUUUCCAGAUUUUUAAUUACACGUGUAAUAGUGUGCCUCCUUUUUGUGAUCCUGUACUUAUUGUUACUAUGAUUAUUAACAUUAUCAUUUUAAAUAAUGUUUAUAAUCUUACUAUGUAUUAAGUAUAACCACUUCUAAUUUUUGGCACAAUAUACUUCAGUACUUUAGAUAUACAUUUGUGUAUACAUUAUAAUUAUAGCCUAUUGUACAUUGUAAUUUGAAAUGUUUGUAAGGUAACGUCAUCUUUUAUGACGUCAUAUAUUCAUGACGUUGUUUUUUUCAUAUCAUAUAUGUUGACUUCCUGAUGACGACAUAAUAAA